GUUUAAACUCACCUGAAUAUCUGACGAUCCCUGCAUUUGACGGGAGAGUUGUUGCCACCAUCAGCUUUGGUACACAGACUGACUGGAGACAUGAGGAAGAGUGCAGUCAAGACUAUAAAUACCAGAACGUAGAAACAUCAAAAGCUCCUCACAAUAAUCUGGGGUUACUGUCUGAGCAGAGCGUUUCUAAAAACAUGAAUUCUGAGUUGGAGAUAUCCCCAGAUAAUGAAGUGUUGGAUUUGCUCAGCAAGGAAACUCCCCAAACUCCUGCAGCCUGCCAAGGAGAAACUGAGGAGUCUUUAACUAAUCUGGACACAGUAUGGAUGAAAAAGCCACUUUUAAACUGCUCCUCUUCCU